rnacentral:rRNA from 1 species
GAUGAACGCUGGCGGCGUGCCUAAUACAUGUAAGUCGAGCGAACAGACGAGGAGCUUGCUCCUUUGACGUUAGCGGCGGACGGGUGAGUAACACGUAGGUAACCUACCUAUAAGACUGGGAUAACUUCGGGAAACCGGAGCUAAUACCGGAUAAUAUUUCGAACCGCAUGGUUCGAUAGUGAAAGAUGGCUUUGCUAUCACUUAUAGAUGGACCUGCGCCGUAUUAGCUAGUUGGUAAGGUAACGGCUUACCAAGGCAACGAUACGUAGCCGACCUGAGAGGGUGAUCGGCCACACUGGAACUGAGACACGGUCCAGACUCCUACGGGAGGCAGCAGUAGGGAAUCUUCCGCAAUGGGCGAAAGCCUGACGGAGCAACGCCGCGUGAGUGAUGAAGGUCUUCGGAUCGUAAAACUCUGUUAUUAGGGAAGAACAAACGUGUAAGUAACUGUGCACGUCUUGACGGUACCUAAUCAGAAAGCCACGGCUAACUACGUG